rnacentral:rRNA from 1 species
GGGGAAUCUUGCGCAAUGGGCGAAAGCCUGACGCAGCGACGCCGCGUGAGCGAUGAAGGCCUUCGGGUUGUAAAGCUCUGUGGGGAGGAAAGAAUAAGGUUUGGCUAAUAUCCAAACCGAUGCCGGUACCUCCUUAGCAAGCACCGGCUAACUCUGCGCCAGCAGCCGCGGUAAGCCCGAGGGUGCAAACGUUGUUCGGAAUUACUGGGCGUAAAGCGCGUGUAGGCGGCCCUGCAAGUCGGGUGUGAAAUCCCAUGGCUCAACCAUGGAAGUGCACUCGAAACUGCAGGGCUAGAGUCCUGGAGAGGAAGGUGGAAUGCUUGGUGUAGAGGUGAAAUUCGUAGAUAUCAAGCGGAACACCGGUGGCGAAGGCGGCCUUCUGGACAGUGACUGACGCUGAGACGCGAAAGCGUGGGGAGCAAA